AUAUUAUAUUUUAAACAGUAUAGCCGUGCGGCUAUACUAUUUAUUAAAAACUUUAAAAAUGUACAGCCGCACGGCUAUACUAUUUAUUUUUUAAAUU
rnacentral:miRNA from 1 species